rnacentral:rRNA from 1 species
UAGGGAAUCUUCGGCAAUGGACGGAAGUCUGACCGAGCAACGCCGCGUGAGUGAAGAAGGUUUUCGGAUCGUAAAGCUCUGUUGUUAGAGAAGAACGUUGGUAGGAGUGGAAAAUCUACCAAGUGACGGUAACUAACCAGAAAGGGACGGCUAACUACGUGCCAGCAGCCGCGGUAAUACGUAGGUCCCGAGCGUUGUCCGGAUUUAUUGGGCGUAAAGCGAGCGCAGGCGGUUCUUUAAGUCUGAAGUUAAAGGCAGUGGCUUAACCAUUGUACGCUUUGGAAACUGGAAGACUUGAGUGCAGAAGGGGGGAGUGGAAUUCCAUGUGUAGCGGUGAAAUGCGUAGAUAUAUGGAGGAACACCGGUGGCGAAAGCGGCUCUCUGGUCUGUAACUGACGCUGAGGCUCGAAAGCGUGGGGAGCAAACAGG